CCUACGGGAGGCAGCAGUGGGGAAUUUUGGACAAUGGGCGAAAGCCUGAUCCAGCAAUGCCGCGUGAGUGAAGAAGGCCUUCGGGUUGUAAAGCUCUUUUGUCAGGGAAGAAACGGUGAGAGCUAAUAUCUCUUGCUAAUGACGGUACCUGAAGAAUAAGCACCGGCUAACUACGUGCCAGCAGCCGCGGUAAUACGUAGGGUGCAAGCGUUAAUCGGAAUUACUGGGCGUAAAGCGUGCGCAGGCGGUUUUGUAAGUCUGUCGUGAAAUCCCCGGGCUCAACCUGGGAAUUGCGAUGGAGACUGCAAGGCUAGAAUCUGGCAGAGGGGGGUAGAAUUCCACGUGUAGCAGUGAAAUGCGUAGAGAUGUGGAGGAACACCGAUGGCGAAGGCAGCCCCCUGGGUCAAGAUUGACGCUCAUGCACGAAAGCGUGGGGAGCAAACAGGAUUAGAUACCCUGGUAGUCCACGCCCUAAACGAUGUCUACUAGUUGUCGGGUUUUAAUUAACCUGGUAACGCAGCUAACGCGUGAAAGUAGACCGCCGNGGGAGGUACGGUCGGUCGAAGAAGUUAAAACGUUAAAAGUUAAAGUUAGUAGGCGNGAGAGAGACGACGGACGACGACGAGGGAGGAGGNG
rnacentral:rRNA from 1 species